rnacentral:lncRNA from 1 species
CGAUGUGGGCGGAUCAACGGCCAUAGCCGAUGUCACGGCCUCCAUCGGCGGCAGAGCAAUGGGUGGAGGUAGGGGUCUCGCAAAGGGAGUGAAAACUUGAGACGACGGAGACACACCGCCGGGCAAGCUCGAAUCGCUCAAAUCGGAUCCGGACGGGCUACCGGGGUUGAAAUAGAGACCCGUAACCGGAACGGCGCCGACGCUGGCGGAUCGUUUGUGCGGCGGGUGGGCCUGGACGUCGGAGCUCAAAUCUUCCGACAUGGAGGAGCUUUUGCGCUUAAGCGUGGAGUUCCAGUGGUUCUUUAUGGCGUUAUCGGUCCGGCCGUUGAGCAGCCGGGCGAUGGUGGCCCACUUGUUUCCGAACCGGGCGUGGGCCCGGAUUAUGGUGUCGUCCUCUUCAGGACUGAAGGGGCGGUG